UUAGGUGACUAUAGUGCAGGGGAAACACCUCUUCCCAUGCCGAACAGAGAAGUUAAGCCCUGCAACGCCGAUGGUACUGGAUAUCUUUCCGGGAGAGUAGGUCGUCGCCAAUC
rnacentral:rRNA from 1 species